AAAUUAUAAAAGGUUUAUUUAAUUUAAUAAUUUAUUUUUAUUAAUAGAAAUAACUUAUAUUUCAGUAUGUUUUACUGAACUAAUUAAUAUUUUGAUAGUUUAUAGUACUGUGAGGGAAUACUUAGUUUAUAAUAAAAGUAGAAUUUAUUUUUUGUACCUUUUGUAUCAGGGUUAAUUAAUUUUUGAGACUUAUUGUUGUUUUCCCGAAAUAAAGAGAGAUAAAAUUAUAUGUUUUUUAAUGUUUCAUAAUUAUUAAAAAUAUAAUUUUGGUAAUGAUAUGUUAUUCGUUCUUUAUAUAUCUGGUUUUCUUGGAAUUAAAUUUAAUUUAGGAUACAUUUAUUAAUUUAAUAACUUUUUGUUAAUUUUAUUUUUGUAUCAGAUGCUUUUGGGGAUAAGCUCAAUAGUAGAUUUAUAACUUUUGUAUAUUAGUGGUUUAUGUAGGCCUAGAAUCAGCCGUCAUUAAUUUCGUUAUAGAAUAACCCAUAGUUUUAUUUAUUUGAUUAUUUUGUUUAAUUUUUUACAGGAACUAAUUAAUUAAUUUAUAAUUAAUUGUGAUAAUGAUUAAAUUAGUAUAUUAGUCAAUUAAGUUAUAGUAACUCGGCAAAUAUUGUAUUCGCCUGUUUAACAAAAACAUGUCCUUUUGUUUAUAAAUAUAAGGUCUGACCUGCCCAAUGAUUUUAUUUAAUGGCCGCGGUAUAUUAACUGUGCUAAGGUAGCAUAAUCAUUUGUCUUUUAAUUGAAGGCUAGAAUGAAUGGUUGGACGAGAUACAAACUUUCUUUAAUUUAUUUUUUGAAUUUAAUUUUUUAGUUAAAAAGCUGAAAUGUGUUUGAGGGACGAGAAGACCCUAUAGAUCUUUAUAUAUUAAUAUUUUAUAUAUUUUAGUGAAUUAAUUGUGAUAAUAUAUUAAUAUAUUUGGUUGGGGCGACUGUGGAAUUUAAAUAACUUCCAUUUUUAUUUAUCAUUAAUUAGUGUUUGAUUGAUCCAUUAUUAUUGAUUAAAAGAUUAAGUUACCUUAGGGAUAACAGCGUAAUUUUUUCGGAGAGUUCUUAUCGAUGAAGGAGUUUGCGACCUCGAUGUUGGAUUAAAAUAAGUUGUAGGUGUAGGAGUUUACAUACUAGGUCUGUUCGACCUUUAAUAUUUUACAUGAUCUGAGUUCAGACCGGCGUAAGCCAGGUCAGUUUCUAUCUUCAAAAGUUUAAUUAAAUUUUAGUACGAAAGGACCGAAUUUAAGAAAAAUUUUUUAUUGAAUAUGAUUAAUAUUAAUAUUAC
rnacentral:rRNA from 1 species